AAGUCGUAACAAGGUUUCCGUAGGUGAACCUGCGGAAGGAUCAUUAACAAAUCAUUGAGCGCAAGCUCAUCAACCUUUGUGAAUAGGCUUGCGCAAGCAAGUUAGAUGGGACGAGGGAGGCGGUGGUUAGUAGGUGGUGGUGGUAGUAGUGGUGAGUGUUUAGGCUGAAGCAAUUCAAACCUGAGCAAGCAUUAGCUAGCAGCGCAACAGCCAGCCCCGCUACAUUAAUAUUGUCUGAUUACAUUUGGAGGUCGAAAGAUUUCUAAUAAUAAUACAACUUUUAACAAUGGAUCUCUUGGCUCUU
rnacentral:misc_RNA from 1 species